GUGAAUCUUCAAAAGUCGGCUCGUCGGAUUGUGCUGGUGGAGACACAUGUGCACAUCUGCGGGUCGCAAACCCACACACCUGUGCAUCUAUGACUCUGAGUGCCGCUUUGCAUGGCCUUGACCGGCCUGGCGCUCGAGUACUUUUCACACUCUCGAAUGUAAUGGAAUGUCUUUUUGUGCGUAACGUACAAACCGAAA
rnacentral:misc_RNA from 1 species